rnacentral:rRNA from 1 species
CCUACGGGUGGCAGCAGUGAGGAAUAUUGGUCAAUGGGCGCAAGCCUGAACCAGCCAAGUAGCGUGAAGGAUGACUGCCCUACGGGUUGUAAACUUCUUUUAUGAGGGAAUAAAGUGCGUCACGUGUGCCUUUUUGUAGGUACUUUAUGAAUAAGGAUCGGCUAACUCCGUGCCAGCAGCCGCGGUAAUACGGAGGAUCCGGGCGUUAUCCGGAUUUAUUGGGGUUAAAGGGAGCGUAGGGGGGAUGUUAAGUCAGUCGUUAAAGGCUGGGGCUCAACCGUAACAGUGCAGUGGGUACUGGCUGUCGUGAGUACACGGGAGGUAUGCGGAAUUCGUGGUGUAGCGGUGAAAUGCUUAGAUAUCACGAAGAACUCCGAUUGCGAAGGCAGCAUACGGCAGCGCUACUGACACUGAAGCUCGAAGGCGUGGGUAUCGAACAGGAUUAGAUACCCGGGUAGUC